rnacentral:tRNA from 1 species
GGGGAUAUAGCUCAGUUGGUAGAGUGCUUGCCUCACAUGUACAAGGCCCUGGUUUUAAUCCCCAGUACCACCA